rnacentral:rRNA from 1 species
ACGAACGCUGGCGGCGUGCUUAACACAUGCAAGUCGAACGAUGAAGCCAGCUUGCUGGUGGAUUAGUGGCGAACGGGUGAGUAACACGUGGGUGAUCUGCCCCAAACUUUGGGAUAAGCCUGGGAAACUGGGUCUAAUACCGAAUAUGACCACGGAAUGCAUGUUUUGUGGUGGAAAGCUCCGGCGGUUUGGGAUGGGCCCGCGGCCUAUCAGCUUGUUGGUGGGGUAAUGGCCUACCAAGGCGACGACGGGUAGCCGGCCUGAGAGGGCGACCGGCCACACUGGGACUGAGACACGGCCCAGACUCCUACGGGAGGCAGCAGUGGGGAAUAUUGCACAAUGGGCGCAAGCCUGAUGCAGCGACGCCGCGUGAGGGAUGACGGCCUUCGGGUUGUAAACCUCUUUCACCAGGGACGAAGCGUGAGUGACGGUACCUGGAGAAGAAGCACCGGCCAACUACGU